rnacentral:lncRNA from 1 species
AGCCAAAGAUCACGAGAGAAAGAGGACGGUCCAGGGAUAAGAUACACCCCUUAAAGGCAUGCCCAAGUUUCUCUAGCAAAAGUCUCCACUAGUAGUUCAUUUGGCAAUGACCUUAAUGGAUUAAUCAGCUGGUGAAGUUUGUGUCCUUAUAAGCCAUGUGCAUCUCAGUAGCCAGACCUUCACUGCACAGUCCUAGGAUGCUGGGAGAAAUUGAGUAUACAGUGCUGUUUACCAAGUUAACAAUGUACAGUGCUGUUUACCAAGUUAACAAUGUACAGUGCUGUUUACAGAGUUAACAAAGUUUCUUCCUAUUCCUUACUCUUGAGUGUUUUGUUUUGUUUUUUUUUUGUUUUUGUUUUUUUUAAUGGCAGAGUUUGGAUAUCCUUUGGGUAUUUGUGUAUUCCCCAUCAUUUGAGAAGGUGCUGUAGUUGAGAGUUGCGGUCCUUUAUUCAGUGGACACGUCUUAUGGAAAUAGCUGAUAUUUUAAUAAUUAAACCCAUCUUGCAUUACAUAAUAAAUGCCAGUUAGUCAUGGUGUUUAAUCCCAUUUAUAUGUCAUAGGAUGUGGUCUGCUAGGAGGAUCUUUGAGAAUGUUUGUCUCAUUCACAAGAGAUAUAACCAUCUAUAGAUUUGUUUUCUGGUGGUGUCUUUUGUCAGGUUGGAAUUGGUUUUCAGCAAAAAUCUUUGGCGUUGUAAAAUAUCGAACUAUUUUAAAUAUUGAAUUGUUACUCUCUAGCAGAACAUAGCCAAGAGACAGACGGUAGAGUGCAAGCUUUCUGCUGGUGGGCUGUGGUUUUUAUUUCUGCCAUUUGCUAGAUAUGCAAUUUUUAAACAAAUGAUCCAGAAUUCGCUUGCCUCUAAACUCAUGAUCGUACCUCCAUCAUAGGAACUGGAGACAUGGCUCAGAAGUUAAGAGCACUGCUGCUCUUCCAAAGGACCCAGGUUCAAUUCCCACCACACACGUGGCAGAUCACAUAUGCCUAUAACCCCAGUUCCAGGGGACCCAACACCCUAACUUAGUCAUACAUGCAGAUGAAACACCAAUUC